rnacentral:misc_RNA from 1 species
GUGUUAAUCCCAACACUCGUCACCUGUAAUGGAGAUAUAUGUAAGCCAUAAAUACAAGUUGAGACCACCUUUUUCUUAAUUUUAUUUUUGAUUGGAAAGAAGAGGAUUUAUUAUGUACUUCAACUGAAAAAAAUAGGUCCUAACUGUCUCUAAACAAGAAAAGUUGUAAUGCCACCUAAAUAGGUAAGAGCACCACUUCUAACGCUUCUAGGAAAAUCACAAAAAUAAGAGAACACAAAACCAGAGAAUAUGAGAUCAAAUAGUCAAGGAAAGAAAAAAAAA